rnacentral:lncRNA from 1 species
UGCACUAUUGGCAUUCUGCCCCACAGCCAUGUAAAUUUUCCUCCAUCUGAAUGUUCACUGCCGUCUUUUAGAUUCCUCUGCUGACAGUGAAGAGGUCACGCUAAAUCAAACUGACAGAGAAACUGGACAUCAACUUUACCCAGGAUGCCCAAAUUAAUUCUACCGAAACAAAAGGGUCAACCUCACUUUGGCUGGCUUGUCUUCUUGAUUUCUUCGUUGGUGGUGCUAAAGAGAGUUGACGAGAUGGGAAGAAAGUGGCAGGGAUUGCUGAGUCUGAACAUCACUUCUGCUAAGCUUGGAGCAGCACUGAAGCUAUUUUAAACAAGCUCUAUUAGUCUGCUGUCUGGGAGACUUACUGCAAAUAAGGGAAAUUUGGCAGUGGGGC